AGUAAAGGUGUUGCUUGCCUCCCAGGAAUAUUCUUCGGAAAAUUUUCAGUUUUCAAUUAUUCCUAAAGCGGAAUAUUUUAUCCAUUGUUCAUGAAGAAGUUUACCAGGAAGUCAAGAAUUCUAUACUAAAAUGAUAGGAUUCACGAUCUUCGUUAUGGCGGUGUUUGAAGGAUUCAAGUGGCUGAGAAAAGACGAUGGAGCGGAUAUGGACCGCGAGAUCUCUGAACAGAUUGAUGCAAUGCUAGAGAGCAUUCAGAGAUCUUUGUAAAAAUGUUGAAAUAAAACAUUUGACCGAUCCCA